rnacentral:rRNA from 1 species
AUUGAACGCUGGCGGCAGGCUUAACACAUGCAAGUCGAGCGGAGAUGAGGUGCUUGCACCUUAUCUUAGCGGCGGACGGGUGAGUAAUGCUUAGGAAUCUGCCUAGUAGUGGGGGGCAACAUUCCGAAAGGAAUGCUAAUACCGCAUACGUCCUACGGGAGAAAGCAGGGGAUCUUCGGACCUUGCGCUAAUAGAUGAGCCUAAGUCGGAUUAGCUAGUUGGUGGGGUAAAGGCAUACCAAGGCGACGAUCUGUAGCGGGUCUGAGAGGAUGAUCUGCAACGCUGGGACGGAGACACGGCCCAGGCUCCAACGGGAGGAAGAAGGGGGGAAUAUUGGACAAUGGGGGAAACCCUGAUCCAGCCAUGCCGCGUGUGUGAAGAAGGCCUUAUGGUUUUAAAGAACUUUAAGCGAGGAGGAGGCUACUGAGACUAAUACUCUUGGAUAGUGGACGUUACUCGCAGAAUAAGCACCGGCUAACUCUGUGCCAGCCGCCGCAGUAA